GGCUUAGAGUUUGAUCAUGGCUCAGGACGAACGCUGGCGGCGCGCCUAACACAUGCAAGUCGAACGGAGUUGUGUUGAAAGCUUGCUGGAAAUACAACUUAGUGGCGGACGGGUGAGUAACACGUGAGUAACCUGCCUUUCAGAGUGGAAUAACGUUUGGAAACGAACGCUAAUACCGCAUAACAUGAGAGAACGGCAUCGUUCUUUCAUCAAAGAUUUUAUCGCUGAGAGAUGGGCUCGCGGCCGAUUAGGUAGUUGGUGAGAUAACAGCCCACCAAGCCGACGAUCGGUAGCCGGACUGAGAGGUUGAACGGCCACAUUGGGACUGAGACACGGCCCAGACUCCUACGGGAGGCAGCAGUGGGGGAUAUUGCACAAUGGGGGAAACCCUGAUGCAGCGACGCCGCGUGAGGGAAGACGGUCUUCGGAUUGUAAACCUCUGUCUUUAGGGACGAAAAAAUGACGGUACCUAAGGAGGAAGCCACGGCUAACUACGUGCCAGCAGCCGCGGUAAUACGUAGGUGGCAAGCGUUGUCCGGAAUUACUGGGUGUAAAGGGAGCGUAGGCGGGGAGACAAGUUGAAUGUUUAAACUAUCGGCUCAACUGAUAGUCGCGUUCAAAACUAUCACUCUUGAGUGCAGUAGAGGUAGGCG
rnacentral:rRNA from 1 species